GGGGCCUGCGGAAGGAUCAUUACAGAAUGAAAAGUGCUUAACUGCAUUUUUUCUUACACAUGUGUUUUUCUUUUUUUGAAAACUUUGCUUUGGUAGGCCUUCUAUAUGGGGCCUGCCAGAGAUUAAACUCAACCAAAUUUUAUUUAAUGUCAACCGAUUAUUUAAUAGUCAAAACUUUCAACAACGGAUCUCUUGGUUCUCGCAUCGAUGAAGAACGCAGCGAAAUGCGAUAAGUAAUAUGAAUUGCAGAUAUUCGUGAAUCAUCGAAUCUUUGAACGCACAUUGCGCCCUUUGGUAUUCCAAAGGGCAUGCCUGUUUGAGCGUCAUUUCUCCCUCAAACCCUCGGGUUUGGUGUUGAGCGAUACGCUGGGUUUGCUUGAAAGAAAGGCGGAGUAUAAACUAAUGGAUAGGUUUUUUCCACUCAUUGGUACAAACUCCAAAACUUCUUCCAAAUUCGACCUCAAAUCAGGUAGGACUACCCGCUGAACUUAAGCAUAUCAAAA
rnacentral:rRNA from 1 species